CGCCCUCAGCGCGGCGGGCCCCGGGGGCCGCGGCGCUCAGAUGCCGUGGUCGCAGUCCACAUCGCGGCAGAUGUACCAGAGGAUCACGUACAGGAUGAGCAGGAUGGCGAAGAUGAAGAGGGCCACCAGGAUCGCCUUGGUCACCGGCGAGAUGAGCGACUGCAUGGCCCCGGCGGGGCGCGCGGGGCGCGGGGCGCGGCGCUCACGACCCCCGAGCGCGCCCGGAGCCCCGCGCCGGCCCCGCGCCUCAUCCGCAGUGCUCCGUGCCGGGGACGGGCGCCCGCCGCUCGGCCGCGGCUGCUCGGGGCGGCUGCGCGCGGGGUCCGACCGCCCGGCGCCGCUCCGGGGCCCGCGCUCCUGAGCUCACCGGGCCCGGCGGCCGCGGGGCUGGGCGGGCGGCGCGGGGGGCGCGGCGGCCAUGGGCGAGGACGCGGACGCGGACGGAGGCGGCGAGGUGGCGCGCCCGGCAGGUCCCCGCAAACUUGGGCGGCGGCGAGAAGGCGGGCGCGCGGGGACAGGUGGAAGCCCGGCCCCGCGGGGCGCGGCGCGCGGCCGUCCGCGGGCGGCGUGGGGCGCGGGGCUGCCGGGCGGCGGGGGCGCGGCGGGGAGGCGCGGGGCCGCGCGCGGGGAGGGGCUGCGGCGCGGCGGGGGGGGGGAGCCGCGUCCCCACCCGCGGCCCGCGCGCGCCCCUCCCGCCCCGGCGCCCCGGCCCUCUCGCUCCGUCUCAGCCUCGGCGGUCCGUCCGCUCCCCGUCCGCGCGCCCCCCUCGCUCCCCGUUUCCCGGGCGCCCGCCCCUCAGCCCGCGGCCGGGGCGCUGAGCUGUAAUUACGGAGGACCGGGGAAGGCGGGCAAGAGGCAACGGCGGAGACGGGCAGCCCCUUCCUGCCCCCUCUCUCCCGGAGCGCGGCUGGCUGGCUGGACUCGGGAGGGGCUGCGGGUUGCAUCCAACUCACUGCUGACCCGUGCAGGACGGGGUGCAGACGCGAUGGGGCAGAGGCAGGGGGCAGGUUCAGACCGGAGUGCCCUUACGUAAGGGGGCGCCCCGUUCUGGGGGAAAUGGAUGAAGAGCCCGGGGCUGGACCUCCCGGAAUGGGGAGGCGGGCUUGUGCCCUGACGGACGAGAAGCCUCGCAUGCCCGCGCCACCUUCCCAUACGUGCGUCUCCCACCCUCCUGGGCUGGGCCUUGUGGAUGACAAACCAGACCUUGUCCCCCACCGCCUACACACUCUCAGACACACACACACACACACACACACACACACACACACACCCCUUUCCUGCGGGCUGGGCUGCGCUUAGGGCUGAUGCCCGCUGGCCCUUCCGGCAGGGACAGCCGGAAGGAGGUAGAAUCCCCCCCGCCCAGCACUUCAGGGACGCGGUGCAGGACAGGGGUACCAGGGCCUAGACUAGAACUUCGGGAUUUGCGAAAAACAGAGCCACCGGCGUCCCAGAGGAUAGGGCGUUCAGGACCCAGGAGCUCCGAUUCCAGUCUCCACCACGUGAGGCCCCCAACGCCAGGGGCUGGGUGGUCAGAAGGCCUCAUGUGUGCAGGGUGAGGGACUGUGAACGGGAGGAAUGCAGCUGCAGGGGAGCCCCCCAUCCCUGAGUCCUGGGUGCCUCGGGGGCGGGGGGGCGGCCAGGGGCUCUUUUCCUGUACUCACUCCAGGUGACCUUCAGAGCCUGCACACAGGACACAGGGCCUGACCCCACCGGAAACAGCAUCCCCUCUGACGGCAGCCGAGUGAGGAUGCGGGCAGGACGUGCACGGUGAUCGUGAGGGGAUGGUCUGGUCCGGCAUGGACACAGGGCAGGAAAGAAUCAGGAGUGGAUUCCAGAGUGGCCCUGGACCCCUUCCUGCAGCCCACCCCGGGGACUGUGCUCUCCCCGCGGUGCGGCAUAGGAAGAAUGGAGGGUACCCACCCACGCUGGGGCCAAAGAAGGAGGCCACAUCCCCGGCUCCGGGCAGCCAGGACGGGUCUGCGGUCUGUGAAAGGAGUAGGGGCUGAAGGAAUGUCCUUGCAGGGCUGCAGCUUCUAAUUCUGAAGGCAUCUGCCUUCCCAGCCUCAAGCUGUCCCCGGGCCAAAACAAGAAGGGCAACGGGCUGCCUGUCCCCGCUUCCGGUACUCCCACCUCACUCGCACACGCAGAGUUCCUGUUUCUUGGGGGUCCGCUAGGGAGGGGAGCCUAUCUCUGACAUUCUUCGUUAAACUUAACUUUGUCGGCAGAACCUCUCCGAUGCCCAGAGCCAGAGCCGCCCUGGUGUGAAGGCAUAGGAGGUGUCUGAGGACACAUGUCACCAUUCUUUGCUCACCAAACGGACUUGGAUGUUGACCGUGAGAAAAUGAACUCGGUUCAGGGAGCGUUUUCCACAUGGCUCUCCUGAGCUUUGGUGCGUUCUGGUUGGUCGCCAUCUGUUAACAUCUUGUGUGUGUGCGUGUUUAACUUAAUCGGAUUCCCGGAGGAGCCUUGACAUGGAAGCUAGUCCUGUGGAUGGCGAGAGAAGAGUCACUCUGUCGAGAAGCAUGCCCUUGCCCAGCGCCGUAAAACUCAGACCGUGCCCAGGCUCUGUGCACCCUCAGAGCCAGCCUGCCCUUCGCACCCUCGUCCGGGUUACUUAACUUUUUUUUUUUUUUUUUUUUGCGCGGGCCUCUCACUGUUGUGGCCUCUCCCGUUGCGGAGCACAGGCUCCGGACGCGCAGGCUCGGCGGCCAUGGCUCACGGGCCCAGCCGCUCCGCGGCAUGUGGGAUCCUCCCGGACCGGGGCACGAACCCGUGUCCCCUGCAUCGGCAGGCGGACUCUCAACCACUGCGCCACCAGGGAAGCCCGUGGGUUACUUGACUUUUGCUCUCAGCCCCCGUGCCCCGCACUUGUGGCUUUAUCUGAAAGCUGCUCUCACACGGAGGCUCCUGUCCGUUCUCCUUCCACUCGCAGAAUUGUCCUUGUUGUCUUUUAUUUCUAUUUACUCCUGCCAUGGGUUUUCCUCUUCCAAGUCCUGCAGGAACACAACUUUCAGUGCCUGUGAUCUUCCUGGAGUGAAUUGUUUUGGAAUCAGAUACAUGGUUGGUUCCGACAUCAAAUUUCAGGAGCUGCUAAAACCUCUUCCUAGGUACAGUGGCUGAACCCGCAGGCCUCCGGACAAUGAUUGGUCCCCUCUCAGCCAUCAGGGCUUCCUUUUUUUCCCCGACGUGUGUACGUUUGUCUAAAACCUUUCCUUGCUACUGAGUGUAUAAAGCAACCUGAAAAUCCAGGCCAGACUGUCCCUACAGGGGAACUUGAACUUUAGAGAGAAAUCGUGGAUGAAUCGACACACCUUCAUCCUGGCUUUGGUGCACUGUUUUUCAGACUGCAGGUCACGACCGGUGAGAAGGGUCUGAGAUGGAUUUGGGUGGAUGCGAUGGGAAUUGUUAAAAACCCGGUGGAUUGUAACAGCAGACGGCGCCACCUGCAGGAAGCAUCGGUGCUGUGUCGGGAAGCUCUGGGUGUGUGUGUGGGUGUGUGUGGGGGCGUGUGUGUGUCUGCGUGCCCAUGCGCACACACACAUGUGCUGGUUGUUAAUGGAUACUGUCUGUCAAAGGUGCUAGAGGGUAGCCACCCUGUGGGCGAAGACUUGAAAGAUGCAGAAACUACGACGGGGGAGUUUGGAUGGAAGGAUGUUGAAGAGUUCCCUGUGCUCUACAGUAGGGCCUUGUUGUUGAUCCAUCCUAUAUCUACUGGUUUGCAUCUGCUAACCCCAGACUCCCAAUCUUUCCCUCCAGAUGGUCUUGGUAAGCAAAGCCAUGAGCGGACAUCUGUAAGCCACAGGAAGCUUGCCCGAACGGCCCCCCGUGUCCAUCUCCCGUGGAGGAUUACGGAUCUGGGGACCCCGUCUCCCGGGUUUCCACGUCGAGUCGCCAGUAUUCAGCACCCACGAAGCCUGGUCAGGUGUCCUGUUCCUGGAUCCCAGGAUUCCCGCUCCUACAACUCGAUUUGUGUAACUGUCAGUUUUCUCUCUGGCUCUGUGGCUGGUGCAUGUGUCUUGGGAUGAGAGGGGCGGUGGUGAAAUUAGCAUCCUUUUCCAUCUUGCUAGGUUUCUGUGAUGAUAGGUUUUCGCCUACAUGUUGGCUUAGGCGAAAACAGACUUGCUAAUUGAGGCCAAAAAACAAAGCAAAUGGUAAAAACCCACGGGAGCCAAUGAACUAAAACGGGAUGUUUCCAUAGUAGCAAGAUGUCACCCUAAGGCUGGGAUGGCAUUUCAUCUUCUUAGCGUGUGGUUUCUGCUUGCCUUUACUCUCUCAGCUUUCUUAUCUGUGGGAUAUGCCUUUUUAUAAUUUGUCCAAAUCCUCUCAAAGCUCAUACGGGUCAGCCCAGUGGAUAAUAGCUAAGGCUUUAUGUGGAUGCACUCAAUACACUGAAACUAAAAAUUGAGAUGUACCGCAUUUCCGUCUGUGAACCGAAACGCCUAUAGGAGAAAGACUUCCCCGUAAAGGGAAGCAGCUGUAGCCCAUCUGCCUCUUAGAAUGGGGUCGCUUUACAAGGAAACAUUCCUCACAUUCUUGGGAUAACUGCUUUGUCCCAGAAGACAGAUGCAUUAAACUCAGUGCAUUGGAAAGGUAGUCAUCAAGUAAUAGAGUAACCAAGGCAGCGCUCAUGGCAAGUUCAGACUUUAGCACUUUAAAAAAAACUUUAUCGCAGCAGCUCUGGGUCGGUGACCAACUAUAGGAACCGUAGGAAAGGGUUUUACUUUUGAAUGGUUGGGUUUGUAGUCUCCUUUUAAGAAAUGUUUAUCGGGUGGAUGGUGUAACCAUCUGUAUUUCAUGCAUCAGGGUACUGUCGACAGAGUGUGGAAUCUUUUAUAACUUGCAUGCAGGUCUGUGGCCUCCAAUUAACAUUUGAAACGCUCCUCAAUUAGGAGAUCACAAGAGCUGACUUCAAUCCGUAUUUAUGCCCUUUUAUGGGGGGGGUCCUUGCUUCCCACAGAGUGGGUGCUCGAUAAAGAUUGAUGGUCCGUGAAAAUCAGGGGAAAUUCUGCCAAGAUAGAGCACUGAUGGCUUGUAGGAAAAUGCCCACUUUUGUGACAAGCUCAACACCACCCACCCUCCCAAAGGGACGGGGGAAACUCAGGUGUCCGGAGGACCUCCUGGUUCUGUCAAUGGGAUAUUUAACGAGCAGUUUUGCGUUCUUUGAAAAACGUCAUAUCCUUUAAGGCAGGAAUGCCCACAUGCUCUACAGCCUUAACCGUCAGGCUGAAUGUAAGAUGACUAGCAAGGACCUACCGUAUAGCACAGGGCACUAUAUUCAGUAUCUGGUAAUAACCUAUAGGAGUGCCCUAGUAGGGAAAACUACGGGACUGGGGGACUAGAGGGGAACAAACAGACAAUAUGCAUUAAUCGAGUCCCCUUUCAUGGUGUUUCCUGUGUGCGGAAAUAUUUUACAUAAAGCCCAUCCCUUUGAGGGAGGAAGGACUGUGCCCCUUUCAAAGGAGAUAGCUGGGGGAGCCAGACCAACUCAUCUACGGGGUUUGAACCCCAGCCUUCCUUGCGGGGACAACGGUAGGGGUCAUUCAGUGUCAAUAGAUAAUUAUGGUUUGUUUCUAAAAAGGUGUAAGAAGUGCGGUUUUUAAAUCUCCCCGGCCUUUAACACAAAUUCCAAAUUUCCAAGUAUAAAGCCAGACUUGGGUGCCCACUUGGGGCAUCAGAAAACUCAUGAUGGCAAAGUGUCUCCUAUGCUCUGCGUUGUCUAAUAUUUACUCUCUUUUUAAAUCGGAGUAUGGCUGGUUUACAAUGCUGCGUUAGUUUCAAGUGUACCACAAAGUGCGUCAGUUAUACUUCUAUAAAUAUCUAUUCUUUUUCAGAUUCUUUUCCAUUAUAGGUGGUCCCAGGAUACUGAAAAGAGUUCCCUGUGCGCUACAGGAGGACCUUGUUGUUGACUUUAGGUCCAGUAAUACUAUCUGUUCAUCCCAAGCUCCUAAUUUAUCCCUCCCCCUCCCCUUUCCCCUCUGGUAACCCUGCGUUAGUGUUCUAUGUCUGGGAGUGUGCUUACGGUAUUUAGUCUUUAAUCGCCCUCUGACCUUGUGCAUCUCGCGCCUCCCAGGGUUUGGGCGGGGCGGGGCUGUGACACCCUGGCUGGGUUUCCUUCGAGCAUGGGGAGGGUCCUGGCGGGAUGACUGUGCGGGGUCAUCACGUGUGUGAGGACCUAGCACAGCCUGCGGGGUGAGGCUGCCCCGCAGACUCCAGCUGUGAUUCGGGGGCUGCCUCCCGGGACGCAGGCACCGGCGCAGCUCGGAUUCCCUUUACCGCGAUCUGAUGGCGCCACCUACCGGCCCUGCAGGGCGCGCGCUGCCCGCCUGGUCUUUUCCAGGCGCAGCUGCUGUUGCCCGUGCGUCUGUCGGAAGCCUGGUGCCGCCCUGGGUCCACCUGCCCGGCCGCCCCUGGGGUGCUGUGCACGGUGUCACCUGCCGUCCGUCGGGUUUGGGAAGAGCUCAGAGCAGGGCACAAAGAGUGCCCAUUUUGUUAGGGAUUUCUGAGGUUGCUCACCCCAUCUAAGCUUCUUUAAUAAUGGAAGCUUUUUGGUGAUGUGGUGCUGGGUUCUAGAGAGGAAACGGAGGGGGUGGGGAAAGGGGGAGGGAGAGAGAGGCUGAGGCCGAUUGGCCAUUUCCUGAGCCAUGACUGGUUUACAGUGUUAUGUAAGUUUCAGGUGUACAACAUAGCGGUUCAAUGUUUGUACAGGUUAAUAUACUCCGCUUCCCUUUAUUAUAAAAUGUUGCCUACAUUCCUCGUCUUGUACAAGAUAUCCUUGUAGCUUAUUUCAUACAUAAUAGUUUGUGCCUCUUAAUCCCCUACGCCAUCAUGCCCCUCCCCCUUCCCUCUCCCCACUGGGAACUAUUAGUUUGUUCUCUAUCUAUGUGAGUCCGCUUCUGUUUUGCACAGACGUUCAUUUGGUUUAUUUUUUUAGAUUCCACACAUAAGUGAUAUCAUGCAGUACUUGUGUCUGACAUCUCAUUAAGCAUAAUAUUCUCUAAGUCUAUCCAUGUUGCUGCCAAUGGCAUUAUUUCAUUCUUUUUUAUGGCCGAGUAAUAUUCCACUGUAUAUAUGGACCACAUCCUCUUUAUCCAUUCCUUGGCUAUUGUGAAUAGUGCUGCUGUGAAUACCGGGGUGCAUGUAUCUUCUCGAAUUAGAGUUUUCAUUUGUCUCUGGACAUAUGCCCAGGAGAGGAGGUGCUCGAUCACGUGUGAUGCACUCUUCUCCCCCCAAAUGAGAAGAGCAGCGUCACUGGGGUGUUUGAAGCCAUCCACCGUAUCCAGUGAAAUCACUAUCGGAACACACGGGCUCCGUGAGGCCGCGGGCCGCAUGCGCGAGGGCGCGCCGUCCACAGGGCACCGGGGUGGUGGCCGCGGGGCUCGCCAUCGCAGCGCUUCCUCCCCAGAGACACCUCAGUGGCAUCCGGGAACCCCGAGGAGCGCGGCGCUCAGGGGCUGCAAGUUUCCAGUGAAAUCACUAUGGGAACACAGAAGCCCUGGAAUUUCAGUGGCUUAACACAUUAAAUGUUAAAUGUUUAUUUCUAGGAAUUCCCUGGCAGUCCAGUGGUUAGGAUUAUGGCCUGUCACUGCUGCGGGCCCAGGUGGUUUUUUUUGUUUGUUUUUUUGUGUUUUUUGGCUGCGUUCGGUCUUCGUUGCUGCAGGUGGGCUUUCUCUAGUUUCGGCGAGCGGGGGCUGUUCUUCGUUGCGGUGCGCUGGCUCCUCAUUGUAGUGGCUUCUCUUUCUUGUUGCGGAGCACGGGCCCUAGAGCGUGCGGGCUUCAGUAGCUGUGGCACACAGGCUCAGUAGUUGUGGCUCGCGGACUCUAGAGCGCAGGCUCAGUAGUCGUGGCGCAUGGGCUUAGCUGCUCCGCGGCAUGUGGGAUCUUCCCGGACCAGGGCUCAAACCCGUGACCCCUGCAUUGGCAGGCGGAUUCUUAACCACUGCACCACCAGGGAGGUCCUGCUCAUUUAUUUUUCAAGAAGUGUUUUCACGGGGGGAACAUAAACUAAUUGGUGGUGUUGGAAAGAUCCUACGUUGUGUGAGACUUCCAAUUAUGAUGGUAAAGUGAUGUUUAGAGUGUGGCCAUGGUGGUGACAGCUGAAGUUAAUUGAUAAGGGACGUCAUGAUCAUAAAAGCGGCAUCUUGAUGAAUAUUAAGAUAACUCCAAGAGGUGGGUAUUCCAAGAGCAACGUAAAUCAACGUCUGAGUCAUGGGAGGAAGGGCAGAGGAACCCCAGAACAGUUAAGUUCACGUGCUUUGUGGGCAGAACCCAAAUGCCAUCUUCAGGCUGGAUGACCCUUGGCAGGUCCCAGCCUUGUAUCUCAGCCCUUACAAUGGGGUGUCUUUAGUCCAUUCGGGCUGCUAUAGCAAACUAUCACAGACUGGGUGGUUUAUAAAUAAUAGAAGUGUAUUCCUCACAGUCCUGAAGGCUGGAGGUCUGAGAUCCCGGCGAGGGCAGAUUUAGCGUCUGGUGAGGACCCUCUUCCUGGUUCAUCGAUGGUGUCUUCUCGCUGUGUCUUCACCUGGUGGAAGGGUCGAGGGAGCUCUCUGGGGUCUCUUUUCUAAGGACACUAAUCCCAUUGAGGGGGGCUCCACCCUCAUGACCUCAUCACCCCCAAAGGCCCCACCUCCUGACACCAUCACGUUGGGGGUUAGGGCUUCCAUAUAUGAAUUUUGUGGGGGGACAUAGACUUUCACUCUAUAUCAUGGGGGUGAGGAACCAACUCUGCAGGGUUGUAGUGAAAAUAAAAUCAGAUCACAUAAAGGACUUAGUACCUGGUGCUUAAAAACCAGUCCAUAAAUAUUAACUCUCAUUACUUUUAAGACAUGCCUGUUCAUGUGGGAAAUAACACUAUAAUAAUAGGUUUAACAUGCAAAGGAAAGGUGAUUCUUUACUUGGUUGUGCUUGUCAUAAAUAUGUUCCCAGGGGCAGAAGAUGUUCUGUUUUAUAUUAAAAAUAUAAAAAAACCUCUUGACUUCUCAUUAGCCUCUUAAAAAUAUUGCAGUGAUGUCCAUGGUAUUAAAAAUGUAGGGACUUCCCUGGUGGCGCAGUGGUUAAGAAUCCGCCUGCCUAGGCAGGGGACACGGGUUCUAGCCCUGGUCCGGGAAGAUCCCACAUGCCAUGGAGCAACUAAGCCCGUGCGCCACAACUACUGAGCCCACAUGCCACAACUACUGAAGCCCACGCGCCUAGAGCCCGUGUUCCGCAACAAGAGAAGCCACCGCCGUGAGAAGCCCGCUGACCGCAAUGAAGAGUAGCCCCCGCUCGCCGCAACUAGAGAAAGCCUUCACACAGCAACGAAGAACCAACCCAGCCAAAAGUAAAUAAAUAAAUUUAUUCAAACAAAAUGCAAACUUUUAAGAGAUAUUGU